GAAACAGUGGGAUUUUCCACUUGCAAGUCUUUCCUGUGAGAACGACCUUGAGGAUAUGAGUGGUCCAGCAGAAGAGAUAACAACUAGAUCCAAAGCAAAACAGACACAAAAGAAAAGGGGCUCAAUAUCUGGCAUACCACCAGCUGCACAGGAAAAAGUGGCAACAGCAUCUAUGGAUUCAAUGACACAGGCACUGCUCAAAAUAAACCAAUCUUUAGAAGCACUGACAAAGCUAUCUACGGAAAAUUCAAAAAAAUUGACAGAACUGACAGCAAGAUUGGACUUGAAUACUGCAAGUGUAACAUCUAAUACAGAAUCUAUUAAUAAAUUAAUUCAAGAAAGUUCUGAAACACGAAAGAUUGCUGAAAGUGCAAAAAAUACUGCAGAGGAGACAAGGGAGGAGCUUGUGCCGAUUACAAAAAAAGUGAAUGAACAUGAUGCAGCCCUAUCUUUGCUGGAAUUACAGAGAAAAGAGAGAAAUCUGAAAUUGAGAUUGGUACCCGAGAGUGAGGGAGAUAGCCUUGUGGACUUCCUUACACAGAACUUUAUGGAAUUUUGGCAAAAGGAGCUGCAGGAAGAAGACCUUGAAAUAACAACAGCUUUUCGGCUGGGCAGGAGGCAAGGUAAGAAGCCAAGGGAUUGUUUGAUUACAUUGAGAUCCAAAGGAGAAAGAGAUAAAAUAUUGAACUUGCAUUACCAAAAGGCAUUGGAGAUUGAAAAUAGUCAAGUACAAAUUUUUAAAGAUAUCCCUAAAUAUAUUUUGGAGGUGAGAGCCUUCUAUAAAGAUUUGGUCUACCUGCUGAAGAAAAAUAUCAUACCCUUCAGGUGGGAGUUUCCACAAGGAUUGUCUUUUACUUUCAAAGGAAGGAAGGUCAAAAUAAGAACAGUUCAAGAUAAAGAACAGUUUUUGGAGAGAUAUCAGGAGGACUUGCAGAAAGGAACAGUAGAAACAACAAUACAAGAAAAAGGAGUGACAGACAUUGCAAACUUGUCAUUUGGACUCAUACCACCAUCUGUAGAUGAACAAAAGUUAGGAGCAGUCGGUGGAACAGGUACCUAAAUAACAAAAUGUCUCUGCAGCUUCUUAGUUGGAAUUGUAAUGGUUUGAACCUUCCCCGAAAAAGACGUCAAGUUUUUCAUAUUUUGAAAAGAGAACAAUUAGACCUAAUAUGUCUACAAGAGACCCAUGUGACCAGGACACAUAGGAAAUUAUUGGUAAAUAAGAGACUUGGACAGGAAUUUAUUUCAUCAGACAAAGUUAAGAAAAGAGGCGUGGUGAUCUAUGCAAAAGAAAAAUUGGCCCCAAAGAUGAUAUUUAAAGAUGAACAAGGAAGAUACCUGGCAAUUGAAAUACAAGUUCAAGGAGAAAAAAUCUUGAUAGUCGGAAUUUAUGCACCAAAUGACGGGAAGGCGGAAUUCUUUAAGAAGCUGCAUGAGACUUUAAUGGACUAUUUAGACUAUAGAGUAGUAAUGAUGGGAGACAUGAAUGGUGUAGUUUCCACAAAUAUGGACAAAGCACAAAGACAAGUAAUUUCCAAGGAAGGAGACUACCAAAGACUUUUUUGAAAUGACUGAAACUAUGGACUUGAUUGACAUUUGGAGAACAAGGAACCCUCUUGAGAGAGAGGGAACUUUUUCUCUGAAGCAAAAAUGACAUGGACAAGAAUUGACCAAAUUUGGGUAACUAGCAGUAUGGCGCCAAGGAUCAAAAAGGUAGAAAUCUGCUCAAAGACUUGCUCCGACCAUAAUGCUGUAAAGAUGGAGAUGAAACUAGCAUCAACUGGAUCCUUUAGAUGGAGAAUGAAUGACACCCUAUUUAGAGAUGAAGAGAUUUAUAAGAAGGCCCAAAAAACACUGAAAGAUUACUUUGAGAUAAAUUUGAGAACAGAAGUGGAAAAAAGAAUAAUCUGGGACGCAAGUAAGGCCGUGAUGCGAGGUUUUCUAAUACAACAGAACUCCAUAAAGAGGAAAAAUCAAAAUGAAAGGAAAGAAAAAAUUCUGGAAAAAAUAAAAGAAGGUGAAAAGAAAUUGAGGUCUAAACCAAAGUCCCAUGAGAUUCUGAGAGAAAUAAAGCACUAUCAGGUGCAAUAUAUGGAAUUGAUGAACCAAGAGAUAGAAUGGAAAAUAAAGCAAAUGAGACAAAAGACAUUUGAAUCAGCAGAUAAAUGUGGGAAAUUUCUGUCAUGGCAAUUGAAAAAGAGGCAAAAACUGAACACUGUGACAAGUUUAGAAGUGGAUGGAAAAAUUAUCCACAAACCAAACGAGAUAAGUAAUUGUUUUCAAAGUUACUUCAGGAAAUUAUAUGCACAAGGGCCAGUUAACGAACAGGAAAUAGAAGAAUUUGUUAAGAAACAUGGAUUACCAAAAAUUUCAGAGCAAAGCAGAAGGAUUUUGAAUGAGAAAAUAACAGGACAAGAAAUAGAGGGUGCCAUUCAGAAGAUGCAAUUGGGAAAAUCUCCAGGACCAGAUGGUUUGACCGCCAGAUAUUAUAAAGCGUUGAAGGAAUGGCUAGUACAACCACUGAAGGAAGUAUGCAAUGAAAUUUUGGAGGGGAAAAAGGCACCAGAGUCGUGGAAAGAAGCCUUUAUUUCACUUAUACCGAAAACUGAAACUGAAAAGAACCAGGUUAAAAACUACCGCCCUAUAUCAUUACUCAAUGUGGAUUACAAAAUUUUUGCAGACAUUAUGGCAAAAAGACUGAAGAGAGUGUUGGUAGGGGAGAUUCAUAAGGACCAAACUGGCUUUCUUCCAGGGAGACAUAUGUCGGACAAUGUGAGGAACAUUAUAGACAUUUUGGAACUGUUAGAAGUGGACAUCAAUAGGAAGGCUGUUUUAAUUUUUGUGGACGCGGAGAAAGCCUUUGAUAAUAUUGGUUGGAGCUUUAUGAAGAAGAAUCUCCAAGGGAUGGGGGUAGGUCAAGGGUUUGAAAACGGUAUAGGUGCAAUAUAUUCUAAACAAAAAGCAAAGUUAAUUGUAAACAAUGUGGUCACGGAAGAAAUAUCUAUAGAAAAAGGUACACGACAGGGGUGCCCAAUAUCCCCUUUACUUUUUAUAUUAGUCCUGGAGGUUUUGUUAAACAUGAUUAGAGGAGACCAGUUGGUUAAAGGAGUACAAGUCGGAGCUAGACAUUACAAGCUAAGGGCAUUUGCAGAUGAUCUAGUACUGACCUUGCAACAGCCAGAUACUAGUACUAAAAGAGUAUUAGAACUAAUUGAGAUAUUUGGUCAAGUAGCAGGAUUUAAACUG